rnacentral:ncRNA from 1 species
UAUUUUGGCCAUAUUCCGGUCAGGGCCAACUGUUGCCUGAAGAAGGGUAA